UUUCUUUCCUCCUCCCGGUAAAGCCAUCCAAACCCUAGCAGUUCCCCUUCCCUGUCGCCUCCUACCUCCUCCAUUCGGCCAUCCCAAUGCCCGAUAGCUCCUCAUCCCCCGUCCUCAGGAGGGACUAUCUUGACUGCCGCCGCCGCCUGCCGGAGCACGCCAGUCUUGUGCUGCCAUUGGCAGCCACAAGAGCUGGCGAGGGAUGGAAGUUCAACCUCCCCAAUCAUCCCUGUCUGGUAACCCCACUCUCCUGGAUUGGAUUCGUCUAUAGGCGGAUGCUCUAAUACUCUUCAGUAUUGGAUUGUCUAUAAAGCCAUCGUUGGUGUAUGAUUGCUGGACUGCGGAUUGAGCAUCUUGAGUGCAAGGAAAAGGGACUGUUUGUCCUUUUGUUUGUACGUUCAGACACUUGGUAGUCGGGAAAUUGAUGUCAUUCUGGUUGGAUAAAAGAUUUGUCUCACCAUAUUGCAUAGAAAGAUUUGUCUCACCAGUGGCCUUUUGAUGAAUCUACCUUGGCUUUUUCCAGAUUUUCGAUUCCAUCUGGUUGUUUCUGUAUUUGCAAUCUGCUAUUCAUGGCUGAGGAGAGAAAAGUUGAACCAAACAUCAGUUUGUUUGCUAUAUGCUCUCCUGGCUCUGGUGAAAGCGUUCAGCAGGUUACUUGCAGUAUGGUUAGUUUCUAACUCACAAAUGGCUAAUUGUUUUACUCUGUCUACAUUUAAAUUGUAGGAUUAUGCAACUUAGUGCCCAUGUUCAUUGUUGUUUGCCUCGGUGAAUCUGUUCAAGAUUGUCAGUGUGGUGUUAAUUUCAGGUCUAUAAUGAUGCGGAGAGCAUUUUUUUAAAAAAUGAUAGAUGUUUUGGCCUUGAUUUCACAAAAAUAGAGAAUAACUUUUGAAUGCUUUUCUGCAAAGAGUGGUUACAGGUUGCAGGGGCAACACUACCUCAUUACAGUUUCAUGAAGUUUUGAGAUAUUUUUCUUGUUCACAAGCUGUAUUUUUCCUUAUGAGGAGCAAAACUCAGCUUGGCACUUACUUCACUGUGUUUGCUUUCCAAGUUGUUGUUGUGUUUUUUUUUACAAAGAUGUCCAAGUGUUUUGACAAACUGAGGAGAAAAAUACAGUUGCAUCCUUGUCACCCGUCUAGAUUUAAUGCUCUGGUGUAAUUAGCUUGUUAAUAAAUCAAUUUUCGGUAGUGUUAAUCAGGUAGAACAUAAAUGCUUGUACAGAUGAAGGAGAGAUCAGCUGCUACAAGUAGCUAGCAACAUGUUUGUAUGGUUUCUUCAGAAAGCAGCGUACUUGCAUAUAGGUGAGCAAUUUAAGCCUGAUGCUAUAUUUAGGCGAUUGCAUAUUUUCACUUGUUGCAGGAGGUGAUAGGAGUGCAAUUUGUUCUUUUGGUUUUAUUGUUUCAAGUCCAAGCAAAUUAAAAGAUUAUUUCUGUUAUCAUGAUUGUGAUUCCGGAAUUGAGUAAAUACCUCUGCUCAACUUUGUCAUGGUCAACAUUACGUUUUCGAGUCCAUUAACCUGCCUGAAUUUUGUGAUUUUGGAGCCCCAUGUGCCUCUUCUUGGAACCAUACCUAGAGACACAAACAUGGAUAUGCUCCCCACUGUGACGGAGGCUCUUUACAAGCUCUUGGCUCUCUCCUCCGUGUCUGAGUUCAAUUCACGGGUUCCAUCCAAGUAUUUUUUGAGAUUUCAAUAGUCUUUACUGAACUGAUUAGUGUGAGUUUUAUUGGGUGCUCAAUAUCGGCAUUAACAAAGGACAGCAAUAUGACAUCUCUUGCAAAUACCUUACCUGUCAUGCAACAUCAUUUCUCGGUAGUUGCAAGCAAAACACAACUCCCUUCUAUUAUCUCAAUCUACAGUAUGUUAUUCCUCUGUAUAUCUUUGCAACCGUCUCAAAACUAAACUAUGUGUUAAAAAUAAUAAAGUUAUAAAGGUAUUUCUGUGUUGGAUACUUGAAUAAUUUUUUUUCA